rnacentral:tRNA from 1 species
GGGGACGUAGCUCAGCUGGCUAGAGCAUCUGGUUUGCAACCAGAAGGUCGUGGGUUCGAGCCCCAUCGUCUCCA